AUUGCCCGAGGAUCGGUUGCAUCCGCGGGCUCGGACUCCGCGGGCUCGGGCUCCGCGGGCUCGGGCUCCGCGGGCGGCA
rnacentral:tRNA from 1 species